rnacentral:rRNA from 1 species
AUUGAACGCUAGCGGGAUGCUUUACACAUGCAAGUCGAACGAGUGGCGGACGGGUGAGUAAUAUAUCGGAACGGGCCCAGUAGCGGGGGAUAAAGAAUCGAAAGAGUGGCUAAUACGGCAUACUGUUGGAGGUGCCGAUAUCGGAUUAGUUAGUUGGUGGGGUAAAGUCUACCCAAGGCAACUAUCCGUAGGUGGUUUGAGAGGACGACCAGCCACACGGGGCAUGAGACACGGCCCAGACGCCGACGGGAGGAAGCAGUGGGGAAUUUUGGACAAUGGGGGAAACCCUGAUCCAGCCAUCCCGCGUGUAUGAGAAGGCCUUCGGGUUGUAAAGUACUUUUGGCAGAGAAGUGGUACCUGCAGAAUAAGCACCGGCUAACUACGUGCCAGCAGCCGCUGUAAUUC